UACGUAGGUGGCAAGCGUUGUCCGGAGUUAUUGGGCGUAAAGCGCGCGCAGGCGGUGCGGUAAGUCUCUGGUGAAAGCGCUCGGCUUAACUGGGCGAGGGCCGGGGAGACUGCCACGCUGGAGGGGAGCAGAGGCGAGUGGAAUUCCGGGUGUAGUGGUGAAAUGCGUAGAGAUCCGGAGGAACACCAGUGGGCGAAGGCGGGCUCGCUGGGCUCUACCUGACGCUGAGGCGCGAAAGCGUGGGGAGCGAACAGG
rnacentral:rRNA from 1 species